rnacentral:pre_miRNA from 1 species
UCUUCAUUUCACGUGCUCUCUCACCGGUCAGAGUGACGAGAGAGUAGGCGAAAUGAAGGGC